GUGAAAGUCCUUCCUGGGACCGUUGCAACGGGCCAGCAGCUAACAGAGGGGGUCUGGUCCAAGCUUUGCUGGCAGACUGAACCCUCCCUGGUGCCCCACUGCACACACACAGUCUGCGAUGACUGGCUCUGGGGGCGAGUAGCAAACUGUUUCUCCUUUCGCUUCGCCUGGGGCUCGGAACAAGUGACCGGGAAAGCGGGAAGUUGGUGACAGUCAGAGUCAUGAACACCCGUCAGACUCCCUCCCCACAAUACCACACCGCUCCCACUCCCCAAAGGGCCCAAGCCUCCAGAGGGAGGACAUCCGAGACCCGACCCCCACCAGGAAGCUUCUCUUCGCUUGCCCCACCUGCUCAGGAGCAACGUGGCCCUGGCAGGAGGAAGCUUCUGAAAGAUUUUCUUAGUGGAGCACAUGGGGUGGCCCAACCGGGGAGACGGGGCACAGAAAGCAUGCGGGGAGGGGGGUGGGGGGGUUAAGAGAAGAGGCUGUAAAGCCCGGGAGGGAGACUUGGCUUGUCCCUCUCCCACCGCACUCCUCCAAGACCCAGAGGCCUGAGCUUUUCAUUCAUCCUUUAAGGAAGGCGCAAAGAUGGAGGGGGGUCCUACCGAGGGAGGGGCCAGAGGCCACCACGACGGAUGAGGACCAGGCUGGCCCAGCCCCUUCAUCUUACGGUGGGGGGCGGUGAGGAGGAAGCGGAGGAGGGGAAGGUUGGCGGAGCGGGGAGGUGGGGAGCAAGGACUUGGCAGAAGCGCGCUCGACCGGAGGAAAGUCCCGAAAGCGGGAGAGCUCUGGGCUCCCAGGCCAGGGGGAGGGUGGAGGGGCCUGGGAGGGUCGCGGGCUGCCUCGGCCGCUUACCUGUCGCGCCAAGGCAGAGCCGCAGCCGCGCCGCCGACCGGCUCGCCGGCUUCCCGACGGGACGUCCUGGAGGGCGGGGCCGGGGCGGGCCCUGCAAGGCUGCUGGGGCGCGCCCUCCCCGCCCCUCCCCUGCCCGGCCAGGUGCAGGCGGUCACCCGCCGCGUCCCCGAGCGCUGCAGCCGGCAGCGGAACGCCCUCUGCUCCUAGGGCCGCCUGGAGGCUGGCGGCCGGGUCGGGGGCGUCCCCCGCCCCGUGCGCCCCACCUGCCGGCCGCUGCUAGGAGCCCAGCUUCUCCAGAUCGCAGCCCACCCCGGGAUGCAGCCUCCGCGGCCAGGCUCUCAGCGCCGAAAAAGAUCGGAGGGUCCUAGCCCCCUCCAGGACGACAGGCAUUAGCCGAGCCGCCGGUGGCGCGGAGCUGCGUGUGCAUGGAACCGCAGCGUGCGCCGCGCGGGCUCGGCGGCGGCGCGGCCGGAGCGCUCAGAGCCCGGAGGCAGCGGCGCCGGAGGGGAAAAACGCGGCCGGGCAGCGAGGAGCCCCGGGGCUCCGUCCCAGGUAGACAGACGUAUCAACAGCUUUGCUUUUGGCAAAGUGAAAGCAGAUUUGGAGUGAUACCUGAGUUGGAUCCUGGCUCUUCCAACUACUCACUGUCUGACUUUAAAUUCAGCCUUUAAAAAACGUUGGCACUCUCCAAAGGCAGCAUGUAGGUGCAAAGUGGUCCUCCCCCCCUCAGUGUGGUGGGUAGAGUGGGUAGAGGCCACACAGAGCCAAGGACUGUCCCUCUGCCGGCUCCUGGGUCCGUUCCACCUGGAUCUGCGGAUAAAUCCAGAGGACUUUGAUCUCAGGGAUUUCUAAUCACCCGGAGAUCAGGAGGAGACACUGAAGGGAAGCCCUAAACUAGAAUGAUGUUUUCUUUCUCCGUGAAUAGAAUGUGGGUUAUGUUUGCUGAGAGCAGAUUAAAAUAGAUUUUAUUGUUUGAAAUCAGGGAUUACAGAAACUCUUUGAAGAGCUGCUGAUUCUCAGUGAAGCCUACAGCCCCCCCACUGUGGUAGUGGGUGGAACAGUCAACCUCAGUGGGGAUGUACGUGGGUUUUCUCAGAGUUCAGACCCACUGCCAGACAGGAAGCUGGUGAUAGUUGGUGAGGAGUGGUGCUAAGAGAAACCUAUGGUUAGUGAGGGAAAAACCCACGUUCUUAACUUUCCAUAGAAUUUUGUCAACUAGAAGGGAUGCCCCAGAAUAUCUCAAGGAUCACUGCACCCUUUCACCACUCCAUGGACAAGGGGAUUGGGGAUGUGGAUUAUCUAGUUUACUUACAUGACAUAAUUUUUUUCAGCAGGACCUUAGAGGAGCAUGAAUGAACUCCUUCAUGUUUUCUACUGUCAGGAGAAGACAGACCUGAAGUGGUGCCUUGAUAUACGCACAUUCUGCCAGACUACAGUAAGAUGUGACAGGCAUAUAUUGUCAGAACAAGGGCUGCACUCAAACUUUGAAAAGAUAUUGGCUCCACUUAUUAAUGAUCAAGACUUAAAAUAUCCUGGAGUUUGGCUGUUGUAAGAGGUUUAUGGGAAACUAUUCUAGGCUUGCCAAACCACCAAGUGACUUCACAGGUACAAAACAUGGAUGCCCCAAGAACAGGAGAAGAACCCCCACUAGGGGGAGCUGGAGAUGGACUUUUAGGACCUUGGUGGUCUCUGUGAUGUGUUAUCCUGUCCUGGCAUUCAAUACCCUGGUGAACCCACAAGUGCUAAAUUUGAAGGCUAUGGGGGUCAGGAUAGCUGACCCCUCAGCUUUUGUUGGUCCCUGGGCUGUUAGUUUCAGCUCAACAUGGUGAUCCAUUCUUCUUGCCCGAUGGCCAAAGAAGGGUGUCUCCUGGGAGCCUCUGGGAAAGCUUUCAUUCCUUUGAACAAAACGGAUACAAGAAGAAGACAGCCCCUCGGAAGCCUAGCUGAGGACAGAGCCCACCCAGUGACAGGGUGGAGCAGAGAGGCCACAGAACCCGGACCACUGCUGACGCUGUUGAUCUGGAGCUUGUAUUGCUCAUGGAGUCCACCCCACCAUGGCAUCUGUUAUGUGAGAUAACUCUGUGGGCUGUUCUGGAGCCAAGGGAGGGACCAAAGGGGAAAAUAGGGGGCACCAGCCCAAAGGGACCCAGACCUUCUCCAAGGACAUUCAGAUUUUGCUUUGAGUCUACAAAAACUAGAACUUUCUACAGAACCUGGAAUGCCACAGAGGAAACAAUCCCACCCGGGGAGUCAGAGAACCUUAGAGCCAAUAUGGCCCUAAGGUUAAUUCCAGUGGCGGAGGAAGCCAUGUCUGAAUGGGAGCCUCAGCUGGCCGCCCGUGUAAGCAGCUUCUCUGAGACCUUGCAGAGGAGUGAAGACCUGGAGGGGGUGCUCAUGCACUCCUUGCUUUUGGAACCAGAGAAUUGGAGCCCAGGGAACAUUCUGGAGGUGCCAGGUCACACCACCCAUUCUUCACAGGGUUCUCCCACAGCCAGAUGCUAUGGGAGAGGCCCAUCUCAGUAUGUGGGUGCUGGGAGGCCGAGAUAGAACUCCCCCGACCAAAGGAGAGACUCAGACUGACUGCACGGUACCCCUCAGCUGGCAGUUCUGUAAUGGUGCGCAAGUUGUUUACUCUCAGUUUUCUCUUUUUAAAAAAAGGAUAUUAAUGUGGAUCUGUUGUAAAAUUUAGAUGAGAUAAUGUAUGUAAAUCACUCGUAAUGUGCUCAGAACAUAGUAAACGCUCCAUUUUCAACGACAACAGUGACAACAACACAGGCACCCAGGGCCACUCCUCGGCUGCCAAGGAGAGCCACUGAGCUCUCCUAACCGUGCAGGGGCCCCUCAAGCCUGAAUGGACGGAUCCGUGAAGCCAACACAUGGCUGUCUUGGUAUGCGCCUGUAACUCCACCCAAAAGCUCUUUUUUGGAGUUUGGGAUGGAGCCUCAUAGCUCGUUGAUGAGCUUAGCUGACCUGUGAGGUUUCGUCUGGGUUUGAGGGUGGCCAAGAAUGACCACUUAGGUCCUACUCCAAGUUCUUUCAUUUGGGUCUACUCCCAAAGCAGCUGGAAGCGGUGCAAAGGAUGGAAAUGAGACAACGGUACAUCCACUGGGUGGCUGCUGCUCCCUGUGGCCUCUUCUGUCAAUUCACGGAGAAGCACUCCCCAGAGUCUGGUGACGUUGGCAGCCAGUGAGGAGCAAGAUGUCUGCCUGACCGGAGGAGCACUGAGCUGCAGGUUCGCUGCCUCUCUACCUCGGCCACAUCACACCCAGGUCUAAAGGCCAAGCCUUGAAAUUCUUCCUGUGUCAGCCUUGGAGCCGUCAGCCCUUGUCUGUACCUGUGCUGCACGCAGGAGGUUGUUAGUCCAUCAGGAGCCUUAUGAAUUGUUAGAAGAUCCCCCUUCCUCUGGGCAGAUGCAGACCUGGGUCAGGGCACAGCGCGCCACGCUAAGCCUGUGCAGGGCUGAAGCUGCACGACCACCUGUGCAGCCGUGGCUGCAGCCCUGGGAGUCCCCAUCUCUGUGCGGGGCCCGCUGCAGUGACCUCUGCCUUGGGGUGGGCAAAGGAAGUGGGCUUCCCUCGGUGUGAAGCCGGACAUAUGGGCACACUCUAGGGAUCUUCCUACUUAGCCACCGUUGCUGUUUGCUGUCAGAGCAGACCCAAAUCUGAUACCAGGAGCUGCAUGAAGGAGACAGAUCACUGAUCUGGAACAUGGGACUGCCUGCUGAACAUCAAAUUAGCAGACUCCUGACCAAAGGCAGGAGAGACGGGGGACGUGACUGUGUACAAGGACAGACAGAGAUCGGGAGAGGGCCAGUCAAAUGUGAAGCAUCUGCUCUCUUCUCUGUCUAGCAUCUCUUCAGGGAACUACCUUCCUUCGAUUCUCAGUCCAUGAAGUUCAGAUGAAGCCCACCUCACCCCCAGCACCAAGGGUGGAUCUGUGAUAUGUACAUCAUAUCUAUGUGCGCAUAUCCUUUGGCCACCAGCAUUGGUUUAGGGUUAGGCACAUUACCCAAGCCAGGCUACUCAGCCUUGUCUGAGAUAUUUCCUGGAACUAGCAAAAAAGAUGACCCCACCCCACAUGGCCGCUGAUGGAAUCAUUAGCUGGGAAAAUGAUGUAAGUUUAGAGCAGCCAAUGGCUAUCCUUGCUAUUACAUGAGGAAGGAGAGUCAGCCUGAGCAUGAAGUCAAUCCUGAGAAAGCAGAGAAUAAAGGUAAAGAGUAAGAGGACUCUAAUGAUAUAUUUUGGACUCCUGGAUCCUGCUGUACCUGAAGUCAUUUAUUCCUAGACUUCUCCCUUCUUUCACUUUCUUUUCUUUCCCUCUGUUUACUCUCUCUCUCCCUUUCUUCUUUUGGUUGAAAUUUGUUUGAAUGUUUUUGUUACUUGCAACUGAAAGAACCUGACCAGUAAACAAUGUAUGCACUGAACUAACUUAUUGUGAUAGGGAAGUUGGUAAAGGGCCAUCUGUGUUCACUUAAACCCAGGCCUGGCAGGGAGGAAGCAGAGAGAAACUCCCAAGAAAAACUUAGGAAAUGAAGCUUUUGACUCUCCAAGUAACAGAGAAAGAGAGUGGAGUGGAGACUCGCAGUGAGAGGUGAGGACACAUUGGAUUGGGAGGGAUGGACCACCCAUCCUUCUAGGCUUUGUCCUGUGAGAUGCCCUUGAACUAGGCCAUUUCCCAGGGAGGACUUGGAGAUACAUGGGAGACCAGGAGAACUUGGGAGAGGAGAUGACCCAAAGACUAGAGAGGCAAGAGGCUAGUCCAGCGUGGGGUCUGUCUCCAAGCCCCUCAGGGCGUGCUGCACCUCGACCCCUGUUAGUGCUGGGGGGCCGGGAGAGCCCCAUUUCUCCACUUCCUUACAACCUCAGGCUCAGGCACGUUGAUGUUCUGUGGCCCACCACAUCCCUCACGUUUGCUUUGGAGAGACUGCACCAAAUUCUCAGUGGGGUCUCCCCUGUUACAUAUAAAUAGUGCUGCUGUAAACCCUCUCUCUGCAUAUCUCUGGCCAUUUUCCUAUGGUAAACUUCUAGAAGUGGAACUUGCUAGGUCAAAGGUUAUGAACAUUAUUAAAGUUUUUGAUUCUUAUUCCAGGAGGAAAUAUUACCCAUUACUAGAAGAGACAGAAAAAGUUCCUGCCCUUGUCAACUAGGAGAGGGCUGAUGGCCCAUAACUAAUGUAAGAGGUGACCUGUUUUUCAGAAAAACAGAGCCACGUCACAAUGUCUGUAAUAAAUUAAAUUAAGACCGUAAAAUGUGGUGUGGGUGCAGCAGAUCACAUGGCAUUAAACAAAUUGGACUGCCUGGUUCCCUGGAGAUACACGGGACAGAAAGCAGCAGAGGGACGUAAUGGGGUUAGCGUGGUGCUUUCCUGGAAGUUGGAAGUGUGGCAGUCGCAGCUGCUGUGGUUGCGUUUACCGAGGGCGACUUCUGUGUAAGUGGGGUUAGGGCCAGAGGAAGGCAAAGAACUAGCAUUUCUCUCUCAGGGAGCUCUGUUCGAUGAGAGGAAUCACCAGCUACAAAUAUAAUUAUCCCAGAAGAGAGAUUUUGUCCUGGUGUAAGUAAGAACAUUCUAACAUUCUAUCAACAGUUGGAAAGGUUCAUGCAUAUGACAGCACUUGGAAGCCAUAAAGCAUUACUGGGGAGGGGUACAGUGCCAGGUACUAAGGAGUCAGAGAGGAAGACGUGGUCCCCAUCUGUAAGGAGCUCCUGGUCUAGUGAACGAUUCCUCUAGGAUGUGAUGAGAGCUGUAACAGAGGAACAUAUAUAGGAGUCCAGUGAUGGCACAAGGUGGGGAGUGAUUAACUUACUUGCUGGAUGAAGAGGUGACAUGACCUGGUUUGUGAAGAACGAGUAGAAGUUUACCAGGUGGGUAGUGAGAGAGAUGCAAGUAGAGUGAGGGGCCUACGUGUGACCUGGGUGGACCCACGAUUUGGAAUGCAAAUAACACGGCCCAGCUAGUCCCCAGAAUAUAGUGCUGCAGGCUCUAUGCAGCGAUAUCAGAUCCAGAAGUCCAGUCUGGGGCCAUCGGAGGCUCCACUCUCCCCAGGUUCCCUCGGACUACUGGUGUUGAGAACAGACCACGUUGGUCGUGGCUAGGUGGGCUCCUUGCAGCAGGGGCUGCCGUUAAUGAGGAGGAGUCAGCCCGGGCCAGAUAGUCCUCAGGGCAGAAGCUGGGCAAAUUUGGAGGCGUGUCAAAAGACGAGGGGACUGGAGCCAAGUCUUGCCCUGAGAGUGUGUCUGAAGCACGGGAUCCCUGUGCUACUAGCUAGACUGGUCAGAAUUCCCUGUUUAAAACUCUUUCGGUUUUUCCGCGCGGCGACUUCCACCGGGCGCUCGGCUGCCGGCCCUAGUGGUGCACAGUGCACGGAUGCCGCCCGUGGACGCCUGUGUUAGUUUCCUGGAGCUGCUGUGACAAAGUACCACAAACUGGGUAGCUUAAAACAGAAAUUUAUUGUCUCACGGUUGUGGAGAAAUCCGCAGGGCCAUGCUCCCUCUAGAAUCUGUAGGGGACCGCUCCUUGCCUCUUCCUAGCUUCUGGUGACUUGCCCGCAAUCUUUGUCAUUCCUUGGACUGUCAACGCAUCACUCUGACCCUCUCCCCUCACAUGGCGUUCUCCCUGUGUCUCUCUGGGCCUUCACACAGCCGUCUCUUUAUAAGGACACCAGUCAUAUUGGACUAAGGGGCGGCUCUACUCCAGGAUGACCUCCUCUUAAUUAAUUACCCCUGCAAUGACCCUAUUUCCAAAUAAGGCCACAUUCUGAGGUACUGGCGGUGAGGACUUCACCGUGUCUUUUGGGGGACACCGUUCAAACCAUAACAGCAUCUCUUAGAAAUGUGGUGGCAGAGCUUUCAGAUAGCAAGGACCUGAGCUCCCAGCGCUCUGAAGUGCCACUCAGGGGUGACAGCUAGGGGACGUGGUGUUUACAUCUUUCUGCUGGGGAGACCCAAGGCUGCCCAGGAUGGCGGCUGCAGGAAGAUGUGGGCUGCAGGGAGCCGGGCUCUGCCUCGCUGCAGCGAUGUUGCUCUAGAGGGAGCAGGUAGAGUUGCGUUCCUGUCAAGGGAGCCAUUUGGGGCCCUUUCCCAGUCGUUCUUCAAGGAGAGUGGCUCCCAGUGUAGUGCUCCCUCUGGAACAUUCUCCUUCCUGGACAGGUAAGGAGUGAGGAAGGGAAUAACUAGUUACCCAGUUUGGGGUUUUUUCCCAGAGUUUUCCUGGAUAUUUUUGCUUGCCCAUUAAAAAAAUAAACAUUUUGUGAUCUGAAAUUUAUAGAUGAGCAAAAGGAGAAUUAACAGCAUAAAUAAAAUCGAGUUUUGCCUAGCAGACACAGGGGGUGCCUUUCGAUUUACUCAAGACUUCUUUUGUGCCACUCAGUGGGAGCUGCUCUUUUCAUAUAGUUCUUGCAUGUUGCUUGUUUGCACAAUCUUCUGUCUCUUCGCUUAUUGUCCUAACAGGCAUCCUUUCUCUCAUUCUAUUAUCGAGUCAGUUGUGCUUUGAGUUAUAGGAAAGCUAUUGAUUUUUGCAUAAUAAUCUCGUGCCCAGCCACUUUUCUGAAUUGUCUUAUUGUUUGCAGUAGUUUUCAGUUGAUUCUCUUAUAGUGAUAUAAUGUAGGGACAUAAUGACUACAAUGAUAUAAUGUCUCUUCCUUUCUGAUUUACAUAUAUAUAUAUAUAUAUAUAUAUUUUGUUGUUGUUGUUGUUAUCAAGUUCUGUUGGCUAAUACCCUCUCUACCCAUUAAGUAACAGUGAUGAUUAUGGUCACCCUUAAUUUGUUUCUGACUUUACUGGGAAUACUUCUGUUGUUUUCCUGCUAAGAAUGGUGCUAGGUUCGAUUGUUCCAAUUAGAGUUGCCCGUGAAUGCAAUUGGGCUUGAAUUUAUUCAUUUUUUUAGUGGAGGGUAUUUCUUUCAAACUUUCUUGUUUCUUCUCCCCUCCUCCUUCAUUUGGAUUUUCUAUCUUUUUAACUAUCUUUUUUUUUUUUGAGGAAGAUUAGCCCCGAGCUAAAAUCUGCCACCAAUCCUCCUCUUUUUGCUGAGGAAGACUGGCCCUAAGCUAACAUCCAUGCCCAUCUUCCUCUACUUUAUAUGUGGGACGCCUACCACAGCAUGGCAUGCCAAGCGGUGCCAUGUCUGCACCCAGGCUCCAGACCAGCGAGGAACCUCCAUACUGUUUUCCACAGUAGCUGCACCAAUUUGCAUUCCUACCGCCAGCUCCUUUGUUUCACAUCCUCACCGACACUUGUUAUCCUUGUCUUUUUGAUAAAAACCAUUCGAACAGGUGUGAGGUGACAUCUCAUUGUGGAUUUGAUUUGCAUCUCCCCCGAGGAUUCGUGACAUUGAGAACUUUUUCAUGUACCUGUUGGCCAUUUGUGUGUCUUCUUUGGAAAAAUGUCCAUUCACAUCCUUUGCCCAUUUUUUAAUUGGUUAUUUGGUUGUUUUUUUUUUUUUUUUUGCUAUUGAGUUGUAUGAGUUUCUUAUACAUUUCGGAUAUUAACCCCUUACAAAUAUAUGGCUUGCAAAUAUUUUCUCCCGUUCUGUAGGUUGCCUUUCCAUUUUGUUGAUUGCUUCUUUUGCUUUGUAGAGGCUUGUUAGUUUGAUGUAGUCCCACUUGUUUAUUUUUGCUUGUGUAACUUGUGUUUUUGGUGUCACAACCAAAAAAAUCUUUGUCAAGACUGAUGUCAAGGAGCUUUUCGCCUAUGUUUUCUUCUAGGAGUUUUACUGUUUCAGGUCUUAUACUUAAGUCUUUAAUCCAUUUCAAGUUAAUUUUUGUGAGUGUUGUACCAAAGAGGUCCAAUUUCAUUCUUUUGCGUGUAACUAUCCAGUUUUUCCAGCCACAAUUAUUGAAGAGACUAUUCUUUCCCCAUUGAGUAUUUUUGGCUUUAUUGUCAAAUAUUAGUUCCAUGGCUUCAUUUCUGGGCUCUCAUUUCUGUUACAUUCGUCUAUGUGUCUGUUUUUAUGCCAGUACCAUACUAUUUUGAUUACUAUAACUUUGUAUUAUAGUUUGAAAAGUUCUUGAAUAUGUUUAUAAGUUUCAUUGUUUUUCUGUUUUCUUAUUUAAUAAUUUCUACUUCCAUCUUUAGGAAGUUUUUAGUUUUUUUGUGGUUCUUUUUCUAACUUCUUGAGUGGGAUGCUUAGUUCACUUAUUUUAAUUUCAUAUUUAUGUGUAUAGUUAUUUAAAGCUAUAAAAUAUUUUUGGUUCUAGUCUUCUGCAGUUUGUUUUAAUUUCCUUUUCUUAUGAAUGAGUUACUUAAGAGUUUAAAAAUUCCAUUUAGUAGAGUUUAAAAAAAAUUUAUUACUGAUUUCAAGUUUUAUUACAUUAUGAUAAUAGAAUGUCUUUUAAUCUAUAGAAUUUACUGAGUUUUCCUUUGGUUUAAUAGUCAAUUUUGGUGAAUAUUCCAUAAGCCCUUAAGACAUAUAUUCUUUGUUUUCAAAAUAUAGAGUUUAAUAUAUGUCAAUUAGAUCAGUCAUAUCAAUUAUGUUACUCAAGUGUCUAUCUUAUUUUUCGUCUUGCUCUGUUACAGGUGGAGAGAGGUAAAAUAAGCUCUUCUCAUAAUAAUGUGUGUCAAUUCUUCCUUGUAUUUCCAGUAAACUUUGUUCUGUGUGUUUGUUAUUAUGUUAUUUGGUGCGUAGGUAUUUGUUAGAUCGUCAUUGUAGACCUUUCUUGUUAUAAAGUGCCUGUAAUUUUUGCCAGAAGGUAAAAUCAUGACUUUCUUUCUUUUCUUUCCUUUAGUGGGCAUACCUCUGCCCAUCCUUUAUCUUUCAAACUUUCUGAGUCGCUUUGCUUUAGGCAUGACUCUUAUACUUUGGGGACAGUCUCUGCUUUUGGUAUUUGGCCAGCUUGGGGCAGGAGAAGACGUGAAAUAGGGCCCCCUGGCCUGGGAAUUUGCCUAUUUAAUAGAGGUCUUUGUUUGAUUAUUUGUGUUUUUGAAAAUGUCUUUAUUUCACUUUCAUCCCCCACCUUUUUUGACCCUCUAUUUCCCAACUUUUAAUGAUGAAAAAUUUCAAACAGAGAGAGAAGAUGAAAAACGAGAACAAUGAACAUCAGUAAAGCCCCACUAGAUUUCACAAUUGUCGACAUCUUGCCAUAUUUACUUUAUUUCUAUCUCCAUCUGGGCCUAUCUAUCUAUUUCUAUAUCUGUAUUGCUAUAUCAUUUGCAAGUAAGUUGUAGACAUCAUGAUACUCUACCCCUAGACACUGCGGCGUGCAUCUCCUAAAGCGAAGAAUCGUUUCCUACAUAACCGCAAGCCAUCACAUACAAAAACGACCCAGGGUGGAAUCUUUUUAAAUUCUGUGUUUCUUCGCUGGAAGUUCUCCUGGUGAUCUACAGUCACAGGGAUGCCAGCGGCUUGCUGGCGACAGUAACCCCAUCCUGAUCAUGCCCUCGCAGGAAGACGAGGGAGGGGAUCAGAACUGGCCGCAGGUGUUUGAAGGGCUGUCACUGGAAGAAUGAGCGGCGUUUCCCUCUGGCACUGCAGAGGAGGCACUUGGAAUAAAGAGAAGUUUCAAGGAGGCAAAUUGAUUCUGGACUGGGCCUCAAUGAUGAAUUCCUUGUCACUGGAGAUAUCUAGGGGAAAUGGGAUGGCCCCUUCUCAGGGUUGCUAUGGAGGGGAAUCAUCUUGGAUAGACUUUCUUAGGGGAAAGGGACAAGAAGUUCUGGAGAGACUCAAACUGAUACCCAGGUUAUAAUCAGACUGUAAUGACUCGUUCAUUUUGCCUACCCCAAAUAAAACUGAUUCUUUUUGUAUCUGUUUUUUGUUUUUGAGGAAGAUUAGCCCUGAGCUAACUGCUGCCAAUCCUCCUCUUUCUGCUGAGGAAGCCUGGCCCUGAGCUAACAUCCGUGCCCAUCUUCCUCUAUUUUAUACCUGGGACGCCUACCACAGCAUUGGCUUGCCAAGCGGUGCCAUGUCCGCACCCGGGAUCCAAACCGGGGUACCCCAGGCCCCCCAAGAAAUGGAACGUGUGAACUUAACCACUGCGCCACUGGGCCGGCCCCUGUAUUUUAAAAAUUUGAGCUCAUAAUAGUUUCUGUAUCUGUUUUAAGGCUGGAUUUUUUUUCCGUGCUAUUCAUUGGCUGCCCAUCUCGUAAACCCUGGUCGUUUUUGGUCAAUCUAGCAGAUACUCUUUCUUUUUUUUUUUUAAAGAUUUUAUUUUUUCCUUUUUCUCCCCAAAGCCCCCCGGUACAUAGUUGUGUAUUCUUCAUUGUGGGUUCUUCUAGUUGUGGCAUGUGGGACGCUGCCUCAGCGUGGUCUGAUGAGCAGUGCCAUGUCCGCGCCCAGGAUUCGAACUAACGAAACACUGGGCCGCCUGCAGCAGAGCGCGCGAACUUAACCACUCGGCCACGGGGCCAGCCCCCAGAUACUCUUUCUUAUAUUUUAUAAGAAAGGACCAGAGAAACUCUGCCUUCCUUAAGGAGGAGGCUGGCCUUUUCAAUUUGGCAGAAGAUUAGAGGCAGAAAAAGAUAAAUCAGUGAAAUAAAUUCAAAUUCUA
ensembl:lncRNA